GUAGUUGGAUUUCUGUUAAUAAUUUAUAUAAAAUAUUUUGAUGAAUAUUUAUAUAAUAUUAACAUAAUUCAUAUUACUAUUUUUUUUUUUAGUAUAUGAAAUUUUACUUUGAGAAAAUUAGAGUGCUUAAAGCAGGCAUAUGCCUUGAAUACUCCAGCAUGGAAUAAUAUUAAAGAUUUUUAUCUUUUUUAUUGGUUCUAAGAUAAGAAUAAUGAUUAAUAGGGACAGUUGGGGGCAUUUGUAUUUAACAGUCAGAGGUGAAAUUCUUAGAUUUGUUAAAGACAAACUAAUGCGAAAGCAUUUGCCAAGGAUGUUUUCAUUAAUCAAGAACGAAAGUUAGGGGAUCGAAGACGAUCAGAUACCGUCGUAGUC
rnacentral:rRNA from 1 species